GACGAACGCUGGCGGCGUGCUUAACACAUGCAAGUCGAACGGAAAGGCCCUGCUUUUGUGGGGUGCUCGAGUGGCGAACGGGUGAGUAACACGUGAGUAACCUGCCCUUGACUUUGGGAUAACUUCAGGAAACUGGGGCUAAUACCGGAUAGGAGCUCCUGCUGCAUGGUGGGGGUUGGAAAGUUUCGGCGGUUGGGGAUGGACUCGCGGCUUAUCAGCUUGUUGGUGGGGUAGUGGCUUACCAAGGCUUUGACGGGUAGCCGGCCUGAGAGGGUGACCGGCCACAUUGGGACUGGGAUACGGCCCAGCAUCCUACGGGAGGCAGCAGUGGGGAAUAUUGCACAAUGGGCGGAAGCCUUAUGCAGCAACGCCGCGUGCGGGAUGACGGCCUUCGGGUUGUAAACCGCUUUCGCCUGUGACGAAGCGUGAGUGACGGUAAUGGGUAAAGAAGCACCGGCUAACUACGUG
rnacentral:rRNA from 1 species